AACGCACGAGACCUGCGGACCUGCGGAAGGAUCAUUACCGAGUGAGGGCCCUCUGGGUCCAACCUCCCACCCGUGUUUAUUCUACCUUGUUGCUUCGGCGGGCCCGCCUCACGGCCGCCGGGGGGCACUCGCCCCCGGGCCCGCGCCCGCCGAAGACACCAUUGAACUCUGUCUGAAGAUUGCAGUCUGAGCAGAUUAACUAAAUCAGUUAAAACUUUCAGCAACGGAUCUCUAGAUCGG
rnacentral:misc_RNA from 1 species